GACGAACGCUGGCGGCGUGCUUAACACAUGCAAGUCGAACGGAAAGGCCGUGCUUUUGUGGGGUGCUCGAGUGGCGAACGGGUGAGUAACCCGUGAGUCACCUGCCCUUGACUUGGGGAUAACUUCAGGCAACUGGGGCUAAUACCGGCUAGGUGCUCCUGCUGGUUGGUGGGGGUUGGAAAGUUUCGGCUGAUGGGGAUAGACGCGCGGCUUAUCAGCUGGUUGGUGGGGUAGCUGCUAACCAAGGCUUGGACGGAUAGCCGGCCUGAGAGGGUGGCCGCGCACAUUGGGACUACGAGACGGACCAGUCUGCUACGGGAGGCAGCAGGCGGGAAUAUUGCACAAUGAUGGGGCGCCUGAUGCAGCAACGCCGGGUGCGGGAUGAAGGCCUUCGGGUGGUGAACCGCAUUCAGCUGUGACGAAGCGUGAGUGACGGUAAUGAGUGAAGAAGCACCGGCUAACUACGUG
rnacentral:rRNA from 1 species